GUAGUCUGUGAUGAUAAAGUUAGUUCUCAGAUGGCCUGAAUUCUUUUUGGAAUAUGAAGGCAUCAUAAGUCACUACCUCUUCUGAGACAC
rnacentral:snoRNA from 1 species